AAUAUUGGACAUUGGGCGAAAGCUUGAUCCAGCAAUGCUGCGUGUGUGAAGAUGGUCUUCGGAUUGUAAAGCACUUUAAGUUGGGAGGAAGGGCAGUAAGUUAAUACCUUGCUGUUUUGACGUUACUGACAGAAUAAGCACCGGCUAACUUGGUGCCAUCAGCCGCAGUAAUAGGAAGGGGGCAAGCGUUAAUCGGAAUUACUGGGCGUAAAGCGCGCGUAGAUGCUUUAUUAAGUUGAAAGUGUAAGCCCCGGGCUCAAACUGGGAACUGCUUUCAAAACUGGCAAGCUAGAGUAUAGCAGAGGGUGGUGGAAUUUCCUGUGUAGCGGUGAAAUGCGUAGAUAUAGGAAGGAACACCAGUGGCGAAGGCGACCACCUGGGCUAAUACUGACACUGAGGUGCGAAAGCGUGGGGAGCAAAC
rnacentral:rRNA from 1 species